GGAUGAGUUUGCUAGCUUGCUUGCUAUUGUUCCAAAAGGUCCCAUUGCCAUCUUUGGUUUGGGUGGUGGAACUACUGCUCGGCUAAUGCUUGACUUGUGGCCUUCAUUGCAACUUGAUGGCUGGGAGAUUGAUGGAAUUUUGAUCGAUAAAGCAAGAGAAUAUCUUGGGCUGUCAUAUCUUGAGAAACAUACUGUAGCUGGUGGCAUCCUUAAUGUUCAUAUCGGUGAUGCCCUUUCACAAUCAGUUAAUGUGUCUGAAGGAUAUGCUGGCAUUGUAAUUGACUUGUUUUCUGAAGGAAAAGU